AUUGAACGCUGGCGGCAGGCCUAACACAUGCAAGUCGAACGGUAACAGGAAGACGCUUGCUUCUUUGCUGACGAGUGGCGGACGGGUGAGUAAUGUCUGGGAAACUGCCUGAUGGAGGGGGAUAACUACUGGAAACGGUAGCUAAUACCGCAUAACGUCGCAAGACCAAAGAGGGGGACCUUCGGGCCUCUUGCCAUCGGCUGUGCCCAGAUGGGAUUAGCUAGUAGGUGGGGUAACGGCUCACCUAGGCGACGAUCCCUAGCUGGUCUGAGAGGAUGACCAGCCACACUGGAACUGAGACACGGUCCAGACUCCUACGGGAGGCAGCAGUGGGGAAUAUUGCACAAUGGGCGCAAGCCUGAUGCAGCCAUGCCGCGUGUAUGAAGAAGGCCUUCGGGUUGUAAAGUACUUUCAGCGGGGAGGAAGGGAGUAAAGUUAAUACCUUGGCUCAUUGACGUUACCCGCAGAAGAAGCACCGGCUAACUCCGUG
rnacentral:rRNA from 1 species